UACAUAUCUAAUAGGGCUGUAAAGAUACGCGUAUCGAAACCGAAAUCGCGACACUUAAAGCCACGAACCUGUCUCGCGGUGUGAGAAGGCAGAAGCGCGAUAUGCCCUUUCUAACUCUCCGGUCAAAUUGUCUGAUUGAAAUUUGCUAAUAAUUUGUCUGAAUAAUAGUCUGCUGACAGCGCCCCCUCCUAUCGAUGCCGUAAGUAUGCGACGAGAUGCCCUCUCUGUGAUGACAGCUCUCCGUGGCUACGGAGGAUUGCAUUUCUCCACAGCCGUCGAAGUCCUCAUAUGCGAUAUUAACGACAUUUAUCCAGAGUGGGCCAAGCGUGAAAAAAAUUGCCUGUGUGAUCCUGUCUCUAUUGUUUUGUGUAAUUUGACUGGCAGUUUGUCUGCUUAUAGGUCGGAAUGAAGUGGCCACCGAUUAUUGACAGGAUGGGUACUUUAUUCUACCGGACUCGUUCGCUUCUUCACUAGACACACGCGCUACCGCUCGCUCUCCUCGCUCGUCCACUCACUCGCUGACGUCACUCACACACGCAUACGCACGCUGCCAUUCUUGCGCACACACAUAUGCUACUCGUAACACUAUGCCUUGUUAUUGCGACGUUCAAGUUAGACGUUCAUGUUUUUCCCCAUCUAUUGAAAGUUAGGCUAUUAAACAUGUUGCAUUCUAUACGGCCUGAUUAUGUCAUUAUUUAAGCUACAUAGCCUAAUAAGAAGCGCUAAUAAGGAUAUUUGACUAAACCAACCAAACAGUUGAGGGUUUUUGCCUACCAGCAAAAAGCAUCCUCCAACUGCAAUCUUUGUUUAUUUCUUCAUUAAUUUAGCUAUACUUUAAUAGUAUUCUUUCUGUUCAAAUCUGUUCAGUGUUCCAAAUUAUUUGUUAUUAAAUGUUACAUUAAGUUAAUUGGUAUAAGUGUUGUUCAAAUAAAAUGCUUUUUAAAUUUAAAAAAAUCGUGGGAUGUAUCGAA